CCUACGGGAGGCAGCAGUAGGGAAUCUUUCACAAUGGGCGAAAGCCUGAUGGAGCAACGCCGCGUGCAGGAUGAAGGCCUUCGGGUUGUAAACUGCUUUUAUAAGCGAGAAAUAUGAUGGUAACUUAUGAAUAAGGAUCGGCUAACUACGUGCCAGAAGCCGCGGUCAUACGUAGGAUCCGAGCAUUAUCCGGAGUGACUGGGUGUAAAGAGUUGCGUAGGUGGCAUAAUAAGUAGCUAGUGAAAUCUGGUGGCUCAACCAUUCAGACUAUUAGCUAAACUGUUAAGCUCGAGACCGUUAGGGGUAACUGGAAUUUCUAGUGUAGGAGUGAAAUGCGUAGAUAUUAGAAGGAACACCAAUAGCGUAGGCAGGUUACUGGGACGGUUCUGACACUAAGGCACGAAAGCGUAGGGAGCAAACGGGAUUAGAUACCCCGGUAGUC
rnacentral:rRNA from 1 species